CAGGUCCGUGUGAAUUAGGACAUGGCUGCCGUAUCCAGACUGUAAGGAAGUUUCUGGAGGAUGUGAGCCCCGCCCGUCCUGUGUCCCUAUGAGGAGUACACACAGCUGAGGGUCUGUUACAUGGGAAGCAUUAGACUAUACCCCACGCUAUCGGCACCAUGACAGGCCAACAGAGCGGGUCUCACCGCAGCUUACAGGAAGGGCUCAGACUCAUGAUACUUGAUGAAAGGUUUAAAGGAUUAUACGAGGAAGGUCAUUGCCAGAGACAGGAAUUCCUGGAUACGUUCAUGUGAAUAUGGCACAGCUCAUGAUAAUGGAUCCCGGCUAUUACAUCUGUACUAUUAUAUAAGAAUCCUGAUAAUAUUUAUAAAUAGAGAUGCGACGACCUAUAAGAAUUCUAUUGCACAUGAACUCCUCCCAACUUGCAAAACUGGUAAAUCGCUUCUACACGGGAUGAAAAGUGUUGCGAACCUUCUUUUGUCCUACCUACUCAACAAUGCCUGCCUUUGUGAUCCCACACAAUAAUACCGAUCUGGUCCUCAUUUGUCCGGCCAACCUCCCGAUGCUGAAGCUGCCAGCACUGGAAGUCCUGGCUGCCUCUUCUCGAGCAAUGGGUCACGGAACACCUGCAGACUAUUACACCCCUGGGCAAUUCCCUUCUUUACAACAGCAACAAUAAAGAAAAUCCCUGAAACAUAUGUGUUCCUUUUCUCCAUGUCAGAUGGUUCAGUCCUGUUUCUGCAGUAUACGGCAAAGUGCAGGCACCAUGAUGCAGUAAUUGCUUGUAUUGCUUGCGUUUCAAGGGGUAUUCCAGAGG